UACGUAAGGAGCAAGCGUUGUCCGGAAUCACUGGGCGUAAAGGGUACGCAGGCGGUCUGGCAAGUCAGAGGUGAAAGCCACCGGCUUAACCGGUGAAGUGCCUUUGAAACUGUUAGACUUGAGGAUAGGAGAGGAAAGUGGAAUUCCCGGUGUAGUGGUGAAAUACGUAGAGAUCGGGAAGAAUACCAAUGGCGAAAGCAGCUUUCUGGCCUAUUCCUGACGCUGAGGUACGAAAGCCAGGGUAGCAAACGGG
rnacentral:rRNA from 1 species